UACGAAGGUGGCAAGCGUUGUUCGGAUUUACUGGGCGUACAGGGAGCGUAGGCGGUUGGGUAAGCCCUUCGUGAAAUCUCCGGGCCUAACCCGGAAAGUGCGGAGGGGACUGCUCGGCUAGAGGAUGGGAGAGGAGCGCGGAAUUCCCGGUGUAGCGGUGAAAUGCGUAGAGAUCGGGAGGAAGGCCGGUGGCGAAGGCGGCGCUCUGGAACAUUUCUGACGCUGAGGCUCGAAAGUGUGGGGAGCAAACAGG
rnacentral:rRNA from 1 species